rnacentral:lncRNA from 12 species
AGGAGCUAAAGGAGAAAAUAAUAUUUUUGGAGAGAGAAUGCAUAAGGAAACCUGACUGUAGCAGACUCUUGCCUAGUGAGGUGAGUGAGUUCUCCAAUGGUGCGGAAAAUAAUAUUUUUGGAGGGAGAAUGCAUAAGGAAACCUGACUUGUAGCAGACUCUUACCUAGUGAGAGAGUGUGGAGCUGUUUCUCACACAAAGUCUGUUCCUUGGUCACCACAUCUGCAGAAAGAGGAGACAUUUCCCAUUAAUGCUGGAGCCACAACCUGGUGUCCACACCAGAAAUAUAUUGGUUUCCAGGGGCACUGAUGGAGCUUCAUAAUCAAGAUCUAGGAAGACAAGAAAUUACUGAGCUCAUCGGGCUGCAGCCACUCGAAUAUGUGAUCAAAGAGCGUUUCCAGUGGUGUCUCCAUCUGUGGAGCGAGGUUGUGGAGGGCAUGGUGCAACUGCUCCUCUCUGUUCUGGAGUCUGGAAAUGCAAAUUUCACUGAAUUUUCUCCUCCCAAGGCUCAUCACCCAAUCCUUAAUUCAUCCAGGCUCUGUUCAGCAGGGUUUGGAGCUAUCGGAUCUCACCCCGGUACAAGCUGCAUGAAUAUGUCCAGCGAUCCUGUGAGCUGAUUAUUGUUCAUCCUUAACGGCUUUCCAUCUCCCUAACAACGGUAUUAGCAUUAUUAUUGUGCCCAGGGCUCCGAGUACGGCUACUAAUGGAACUCAAUCAGCUCUUGAAGAACAAAGGAUCCCUUUUCCAUGGCACCCUGUGACUGUCAGAGGAUUGGAUUAGCAGCUUGUCAAUCCUGCAGUUCGUGGCUCUUCCUUGAUGCACCCUUGAAUGCUUGGUUAGUACGUGGAAUUACAUUAUCUGAAAAAUUAAUACCAAACAUUAAGCGAAAGCUGUGUGCUAUUCCCUCCUGACCUGAUUAUUCUAGAUUAUUUAACUAAGUAGCCAGCAUACCCCCUAAUUUAAGUGCUGAAUUCCUACCACACAAAACGUUAUCUUUUCUCAUAAAAGAAGCCCACGAAAAGAGCAAGCUCAAUUGCCAAUUAUGCUUCUUCCAUGAAAUCUCUUCUAUCCCCUUCAGGAUAGGUUUGGGUAAAAAUAUAAUUGCAGUGGAUAAGGGAGCUUAAGAAAAGAUGUAAAUGAAAAACGUUAUGUGUUGGCAUCUGAUUGAUCCAUUUGAAAGAAAGAGAAGGAGAAUUUGAUGAGCUGGUAAGGAGCUCAUAGUUUGUUUCGAAGGAACCCAGCGUUUUUUUAACCUGUACAGGGUGCUGAGCUAUAAUUAAGAACGGCAAGCCAGUGAAAAAUCUAUUUAAACUCCUGACAGCUUCUCUGCAUUAGCAUUUUUGACAUCUACAUUCACUCUGGCAAAUCACUAAUGUGAUUUUUUUUUUCAAAAUUAUAUUUUUAUUAGCUUUCUGCAUAUAAUAACAAAGUGAAAAUGAUGUUGCAGCCUGGACAGGUCGUUAACUCAAAAGCUCAGCACUUGCAUUGUGCUUAAUUAGCUGCCUGAUUAUUGUUUUAUUUUGAAAGAAGUUUUGUAAAUAUGUUUUCAUCUGUAAGUCAUCUUUAAAGGGAAAACAAAUGUUUGAUACUGAUAGUUGGUGAAAAGCAUGGCAAACCCUGGAUUACAAACACUGUGAUUAAUUGAUGUCAAGAUACUAAUC